ACGAACGCUGGCGGCGUGCCUAAUACAUGCAAGUAGAACGCUGAAGGAGGAGCUUGCUCUUCUGGAUGAGUUGCGAACGGGUGAGUAACGCGUAGGUAACCUGCCUGGUAGCGGGGGAUAACUAUUGGAAACGAUAGCUAAUACCGCAUAACAGUAGAUGUUGCAUGACAUUUACUUAAAAGGUGCAAUUGCAUCACUACCAGAUGGACCUGCGUUGUAUUAGCUAGUUGGUGGGGUAACGGCUCACCAAGGCGACGAUACAUAGCCGACCUGAGAGGGUGAUCGGCCACACUGGGACUGAGACACGGCCCAGACUCCUACGGGAGGCAGCAGUAGGGAAUCUUCGGCAAUGGACGGAAGUCUGACCGAGCAACGCCGCGUGAGUGAAGAAGGGUUUCGGAUCGGAAAGCUCUGUUGUAAGAGAAGAACGAGUGUGAGAGUGGAAAGUUCACACUGUGACGGUAUCUUACCAGAAAGGGACGGCUAACUACGUG
rnacentral:rRNA from 1 species